UAAUACGUAGGGUCCGAGCGUUGUCCGGAAUUAUUGGGCGUAAAGGGCUCGUAGGCGGUUUGUCGCGUCGGGAGUGAAAACACGGGGCUUAACCCCGUGCCUGCUUCCGAUACGGGCAGACUAGAGGUAUGCAGGGGAGAACGGAAUUCCUGGUGUAGCGGUGAAAUGCGCAGAUAUCAGGAGGAACACCGGUGGCGAAGGCGGUUCUCUGGGCAUUACCUGACGCUGAGGAGCGAAAGUGUGGGGAGCGAACAGGAUUAGAUACCCUGGUAGUCCACACCGUAAACGUUGGGCGCUAGGUGUGGGGCUCAUUCCACGAGUUCCGUGCCGCAGCUAACGCAUUAAGCGCCCCGCCUGGGGAGUACGGCCGCAAGGCUA
rnacentral:rRNA from 1 species